AUAUAUAUAUAUAUAUAUAUAUAUAUAUACACAGCUAUCUCGAUAUCAUUCUUUGAUAUCAUAGCAAAGAUCAGUCUGACAAAUUAUAUAUACUGAAACGUUACGUUAUCGCUGUGGUGUGAUCGGUGGCAUUAUCUUUGAAACAAGUAGCAAGAGAAUUACCCUAUAGUGUAUGUUUCAAUCAUACCAAUAAUCCAGAGACACGUUGGAGCGCUUAAUUCAUUGUCAUCGACAAGCUCUGAACACUGACUUACUUAGUUGUGAAUCCCUCUGGUGGCAAGUGUAGGAGGAUCGCCACAGAACUAUAUCAGUGACGUUGCGACUGAGAAAGGACGCGACGAACCACGUGAUAUACCUGUCGUCGGGCCGCGUCAUGCAAAGCAUGCCCGACUCCUCGAUGGCCAUAACCUGAAUUGAGCCGAUUUGACCCGAUUAAGCCCGAUUCAACGUAUUCGCAGUUGAACGAACAAGCAAACGAACGAAUGAAAGAAAACAAACGGUAGCCAUUGACUUUUUUCAUCUUUCCUCGUGCUUACGUUCAUUAUUCUUUAGUGUUCUGUGCUUAAUAAAGAAUACGCUACCGCUUUUUGCAAUAAAGAUGCGAAUACUCAGAAGUGUAUCAGAAGUGUAUUAUACUUCGAUGAUAAUAUUUAUCUAACAUGAAAAAAAAAGUAAAAAUUUAAUUAGGAAAAGGGUCAAUCUGUCUACUUGUAACAGGUGACUAGUCGAACGAAUGAACGGAGUGAUCGUGAUACGCAUGCUGUUUCUCGUUCUUUCGAUGUUCUUUUAUAACGGUGAUAAUUUGAAAUAAUUGUGCUAUAGUGUACUGUGCACAUAGUGUCAUUGAUAUGGUGUUUUUAUAGUGUCAACCGUUACGUGUAAUUGUCUGAAAGUGGUGGCGUGGGAGUCCGACAUUUUAACCGCUCAUAUUCACGAAAAGAUACAAGUGUCCACGUGUGAAAUAUG